rnacentral:sRNA from 1 species
GAAUUCUUGAGGAGCACUCAGUCCACAUGGGAGAGUGGGGCAGGUUCAGGAGCAGUUGGGUCCACUGGCAUGGGGGCAGGGAUCCAGUGACAGAAGAAUCCCCAAAAUUGAAAGGAUCUGAUCUCCUGUGGUUGGCUGCAAAUCCCCAAGGCUCAGACUCAGAGAUCCUGAACUAAGUGGAAGGCACCAGAAAGUUUGCACACCAGGAGAAUUGAGAGUGUUACAAGUAGGCUUCCAGAGUUAAGUUUCCAGCACCCUCACAACUGCCUGUAACUCCAGUGUCCAGGAAUUCAACACAUUCUGGCCUCCGUGGGCCUUUGCACAUAU